GAUGAACGCUGGCGGCGUGCCUAACACAUGCAAGUCGAACGGGAGGGCGGACGGGUGAGUAACACGUGGGCAACCUGGCUCAUAGAGGGGGAUAACAGAGAGAAAUUUCUGCUAAUACCGCAUACUAUGAUAUGGACCCGCGGCGGAUUAGCCAGUUGGAAGGGUAAGAGCCUACCAAAGCGACGAUCCGUAGCGGACCUGGAAGGAUGAACGGCCAGAUUGGGACUGAUACACGGCCCAAACUCCUACGGGAGGCAGCAGUGGGGGAUAUUGCACAAUGGGGGGAACCCUAAGGCAGCGACGCCGCGUGAGUGAAGAAGUAUUUCGGUAUGUAAAGCUCUAUCAGCAGGGAAGCAGUACCUGAAUAAGAAGCCCGGGCUAACUACGUGCCAGCAGCCGCGGUAAUUC
rnacentral:rRNA from 1 species